rnacentral:rRNA from 1 species
CAAUAGCGUAUAUUAAAGUUGUUGCAGUUAAAAAGCUCGUAGUUGGAUUUCUGGUAGGAGUGACCGUUCCGAACUUGAUUGUUCGUGUAUUGUGUUUUCUCCAGCCAUCCUUGUGGAGAACUUUUCUUGCAUUAAUUUGUAGGGAUUGGGACCCGCAUCGUUUACUGUGAAAAAAUUAGAGUGUUUAAAGCAGGCAAUCGCUUGAAUACAUUAGCAUGGAAUAAUAAGAUAGGACUUUGGUACUAUUUUGUUGGUUUGCAUACCAAAUUAAUGAUCAACAGGAACAGUUUGAGGAUAUUCGUAUGAACAUGUCAGAGGUGAAAUUCUUGGAUUUUGAUCAGACGAACUACUGCGAAAGCAUUUAUCAAGGGUGUUUUCAUUAA